rnacentral:rRNA from 1 species
GAUGAACGCUGGCGGCGUGCCUAAUACAUGCAAGUCGAGCGAACAGAUGAGGAUCUUGCUCCUCUGACGUUAGCGACGGACGGGUGAGUAACACGUGGAUAACCUAUCUAUAAGACUGGGAUAACUUCGUGAAACCUGAGCUAAUACCGGAUAAUAUAUUGAACCGCAUGGUUCAAUAGUGAAAGACGGUUUUGCUGUCACUUAUAGAGGGAUCCGCGCCGCAUUAGCUAGUUGGUAAGGUAACGGCUUACCAAGGCGACGAUGCGUAGCCGACCUGAGAGGGUGAUUGGGCACACUGGCACUGAGAAACGGCCCAGACACCUACGGGAGGAAGCGGUAGGGACUCUUCCGCAAUGGGCGAAAGCGUGACGGAGCAACGCCGCGUGAGUGAUGAAGGUCUUCGGAUCGUAAAACGCUGUUAUCAGGGAAGAACAAAAGUGCAAGUAUCUAUGCACGUAUUGACGGUACCUAAACAGAAAGCCCCGGCUAACUACGUG